rnacentral:rRNA from 1 species
UUCUCCUGGAAAACGGGUGGUAAUACCGGAUGCUCCGCUCCAUCGCAUGGUGGGGUGGGAAAUGCUUUUGCGGCAUGGGAUGGGGUCGCGUCCUAUCAGCUUGUUGGCGGGGUGAUGGCCCACCAAGGCGUUGACGGGUAGCCGGCCUGAGAGGGUGACCGGCCACAUUGGGACUGAGAUACGGCCCAGACUCCUACGGGAGGCAGCAGUGGGGAAUAUUGCACAAUGGGCGCAAGCCUGAUGCAGCGACGCCGCGUGCGGGAUGGAGGCCUUCGGGUUGUAAACCGCUUUUGUUCAAGGGCAAGGCACGGUUUCGGCCGUGUUGAGUGGAUUGUUCGAAUAAGCACCGGCUAACUACGUGCCAGCAGCCGCGGUAAUACGUAGGGUGCGAGCGUUAUCCGGAUUUAUUGGGCGUAAAGGGCUCGUAGGCGGUUCGUCGCGUCCGGUGUGAAAGUCCAUCGCCUAACGGUGGAUCUGCGCCGGGUACGGGCGGGCUGGAGUGCGGUAGGGGAGACUGGAAUUCCCGGUGUAACGGUGGAAUGUGUAGAUAU